UACGUAGGUGGUGGGAUGUGUUGGAUGUGAAAUUCCGGAGCUUAACUCCGGCGCUGCGUCCAAAACUAUCUCACUAGAGUACUGUAGAGAAGAGCGGAAUUUCAGGUGUAGCGGUAAAAUGCGUAGAUAUCUGAAAGAACACCAACGGCGAAGGCAGCUCUUUGGGCAGUAACUGACACUGAGGUACGAAAGCGUGGGGAGCAAAAAGGAUUAGAUACCCUUGUAGUCCACGCUGUCAACUUUGUGCACUUGGUCUUGGGGGAUUCGACCCCUCAGGACCGAAGCUAACGCGUUAAGUGCACCGCCUGAGGACUACGGCCGCAAGGCUAAA
rnacentral:rRNA from 1 species